GGAAGUAAAAGUCAUAACAAGGUCUCCGUUGGUGAACCAGCGGAGGGAUCAUUACAGGACUCGCAAGACUCCUACAACCCUGUGAACUUAACUAUAAGCACGUUGCUUCGGCGGGUGUCUCGGAGGGGGUUCUCCCUCCCCGAGACGCUAAACCCGCCGGCAGCCUACUAUACUCUGUCUCUUUGCGUUGGCAUCUCGAGUACAAUCAAACAAGUUAAAACUUUCAACAACGGAUCUCUUGGUUCUG
rnacentral:misc_RNA from 1 species